rnacentral:misc_RNA from 1 species
UUAUUUUAUUCCACUUGUGUAAUCAGUCACUAUUGUUUUGGCUCUUUCUGUGUGAUCCUCUCUCAAGUAGGGGGACGGAAAAUUUGACUGCAACGUUGGACGCCGGAUGGUGCCACCCUUCUGACUGCGAAUUAAGUUGUGGAUCCAGGGGAUUAGUGAAUGGGUCAUAUAGACCUAAAUCUGGCCAUGCCAUCAUUAUUUGCACAGCAACUCUCUUUGUGGCAGCUUCUCUUCCUUUUGUUCUUUUUUUUAGUUUGCC